rnacentral:rRNA from 1 species
AGCAGCCGCGGUAAUUCCAGCUCCAAUAGCGUAUAUUAAAGUUGUUGCAGUUAAAAAGCUCGUAGUUGAAUUUCGGGAUCAGUACGCUGGUCGUGCCUUUGGUAUGUACUGGUGUCACUGAUUCCUCCCUUCUGAAGAACCGUUAUGCCAUUUAUUUGGGUGUGGCGGGGAAUCAGGACUAGUUACUUUGAAAAAAUUUAGAGUGUUUAAAGCAGGCUCGCGCUUGAAUACAUUAGCAUGGAAUAAUGAAAUAGGACGUUUGAUUCUAUUUUGUUGGUUUCUAGGAUCGACGUAACGAUUAAUAGGGAUAGUUGGGGGCAUUAGUAUUCAAUUGUCAGAGGUGAAAUUCUUGGAUUUAUUGAAGACUAACUAACUGCGUAAUGCAUUUGUCCAAGGAUGUUUUCAUUAAUCAAGACGAAAGUUAGGGGAUCGAAGACGAUCAGAUACCGUCGUAGUCUUAACCAUAAACUAU